rnacentral:misc_RNA from 1 species
GUCAGCUUUUCCCACGGAAGGGAGAUCCACUAGCAUGCCUGGGGGUGCAAAAUACAUGUGUAGCGACAUCAUGCAAAUAAUAAUUCCCAAGAAGAGCUGUAACGUUGGCCUGAAACUAAAUAGGAACACAGAUAGAACCAUAGUCAAUAACAUUGCCAUUGAUGUCGAAUACACCUUGACAAUGUUGUCAGCAUAUUUCAUUAACCAAGAAACUAAAAGUCCAGAACACCCUAGAUUUAAUACCACCACCCAGGUUGUCAUAGUGUAUCCAUUGAAGAGGCGUUGCCACCAUGGUCCCUUCUCAAAUCCACCUCUGAAAUCAUCCAGGACAAGCCGAGCCAGGUUGAAAAUUGCACCAAACGUAUAUA